rnacentral:lncRNA from 1 species
GGACGGAAAGGGUCCUGAGCAAAUCUGCCAUGAAGAAUGCUGUGAUAGCGGGAGAUGAUGUGGAGAAAUUCCUGGAAAAAAGCAAUAGUCGGAUGGUGGCAAGUAGGAGGAGGGAACCUGGCUCAUGGAUCAAACGGCUUCUACCAGCUCCACACGAAUCUGAUUUGCAGAGGAAAAACAUUUGAAUAAAACAGCUGCUGAUAAGUGUGAACUUUGCACUGGGGCUUGCGGUUGGGUUAAUUCUUGAUUUUAGGUUCCUGAAUCGAAUCCUGAUUUCUGUAAAUCAAUGACAGAAAAACUGAAAUUGAAUCAACGGUUAAUAACCUUCCAGAGACAAAGCACUAGUCUAAAGGUGUUCACUGGAGAUCAGAUUCUAGUCAAGCCUAAAAUGGCCUCAGCAGGAAUAUAAGAUGGAGCAGAAGGUCACAAUACAACAGGCUAAAGAAGGAAAGCUACAUGGUUGUAUCAAUAGCUAUAAUAACAAAGCCCUGGACAAAAUUUAACAUGUAAAAUUCUCAACUACAACAAAAACAACAAAAACCAAACAAGAAAAGAAGGAAUAGAGGGAGAUUUACCAAUUGCAAACAAUCCCCAAGAAGUCUACUGCUGAUGACAUACUCAAUGCUAAGAAACUUGAAAGUGUUCCCCAUUAAGGAACAAGGCAAGGAUGUCCCCUCUUGGUACUCUUUCUCAUUUAUGGUGGA